CAUGUAGGCGGUCCUUUAAGUCUGGAGUGAAAAUGCGGGGCUCAACCCCGUAUGGCUUUGGAUACUGGGGGACUUGAGUGCAGGAGAGGAAAGGGGAAUUCCCAGUGUAGCGGUGAAAUGCGUAGAUAUUGGGAGGAACACCAGUGGCGAAGGCGCCUUUCUGGGCUGUGUCUGACGCUGAGAUGCGAAAGCCAGGGUAGCGAACG
rnacentral:rRNA from 1 species